UGGUUCCCGAAAGUUCGAACGGGGAGAUUCAAUUGCCUCGCCGGUUAUGACCAUUUAACAGUGAUGUGUUUAUGAUAUAUAUUUGAGACAUUAUAUGGCGGUUGCGGGUUUAUUCUCGUAGCUGUUUCUGUAUAGUGCUCCACUGUUUUAUGAUAUAUAGUUUAUAGCCGGAGGCGUGCACUUCUCCCCUUGUAGGACGUCGUGACCCAUUGGAUUAUGUUGUCUAAGGCUUAUAAUGGAGACCGUGGCAUUAAGUUUCGGCUUUAAUGACCCGGACUUAUAAUGUCCCGACAUCUAUCCGAUGGUAUAAUUAUGAUGAUAGAUCGCUAUAAAUGUGAUAUGAGCGUUCAGAUCCAUAACAAAUUCUUUUUAUGAAAUAGUGGAAAUCGGAUUUAAUGCCGAUUCUACACAUAUAGUAUUGAUAGUUGUGGUAUUCUCGAACCGUUCUUUAUCAUCAGUCAACGGCGUUUAUGUUUUGGGUAAUUACAGGACCCGUCUUGAAACACGGACCAAGGAGUCUAGCAUGUGCGCAAGUCAUUGGGACUUUGUGAAACCUAAAGGCGUAAUGAAAGUGAAAUAUUUGUGAAUUUUCGUAAUUCACUGAAUUUAAGGGAAGAUGGGUAACGUUUUUUAUGUUACCUCGCAUUCCCGGGGCGUCGCGUACUUAUUGCAAGUUGCGGCGCACCAAGAGCGUACACGCUGGGACCCGAAAGAUGGUGAACUAUGCCUGGUCAGGAUGAAGUCAGGGGAAACCCUGAUGGAGGUCCGUAGCGAUUCUGACGUGCAAAUCGAUCGU
rnacentral:rRNA from 1 species